rnacentral:ncRNA from 1 species
CGCGGGGGAGCGCGGGCGAAAUCGCGCUGAGAUUGGGAUAGAUGUCUCCCUGACCCUUAUACCUGAUACGGAUAAUGCCGUCGUAGGGAGCUGCAUAGUU